UACAGAGGAUGCAAGCGUUAUCCGGAAUUAUUGGGCGUAAAGCGUUUGUAGGUGGCUUUUCAAGUCCGCCGUCAAAUCCCAGGGCUCAACCCUGGACAGGCGGUGGAAACUGCCAAGCUGGAGUACGGUAGGGGCAGAGGGAAUUUCCGGUGGAGCGGUGAAAUGCGUAGAGAUCGGAAAGAACACCAACGGCGAAAGCACUCUGCUGGGCCGACACUGACACUGAGAGACGAAAGCUAGGGGAGCGAAUGGG
rnacentral:rRNA from 1 species